rnacentral:rRNA from 1 species
GGGUAAAGGCCUACCAAGGCGACGAUCAGUAGCUGGUCUGAGAGGACGACCAGCCACACUGGAACUGAGACACGGUCCAGACUCCUACGGGAGGCAGCAGUGGGGAAUUUUGGACAAUGGGCGCAAGCCUGAUCCAGCAAUGCCGCGUGAGUGAAGAAGGCCUUCGGGUUGUAAAGCUCUUUUGUCAGGGAAGAAACGGUAGGNGCUAAUAUCNCUUGCUAAUGACGGUACCUGAAGAAUAAGCACCGGCUAACUACGUGCCAGCAGCCGCGGUAAUACGUAGGGUGCAAGCGUUAAUCGGAAUUACUGGGCGUAAAGCGUGCGCAGGCGGUUUUGUAAGUCUGUCGUGAAAGCCCCGGGCUCAACCUGGGAAUUGCGAUGGAGACUGCAAGGCUUGAAUCUGGCAGAGGGGGGUAGAAUUCCACGUGUAGCAGUGAAAUGCGUAGAGAUGUGGAGGAACACCGAUGGCGAAGGCAGCCCCCUGGGUCAAGAUUGACGCUCAUGCACGAAAGCGUGGGGAGCA